UGAGGAGGUGUGGCUUGCGUUUUUGAGAGAAGAAAAAUUUAAUUGAUAAAUAGGGUUUUGUUUAAUACGUGUAUUAAAUAAAGUAAAGAAUAUGUUAAAAAAUUGGGUUUUUAGUGAUAAAUCCCUCCAACUAAAUAUUUUUCGUAAAAAAUUUCCCCAACUUAUUAUCUUGUAAUUUAACCCCUCAAGUUCUUUUCCGUUAGAUUUUGUUACCCUCCGUCUAUUGUUCUGUUAUUUAUGGACGGAUACCGUUUACACUCAAACGCAGAGUUUCAUUUUAGUGAUAAAUCCCCCAACUAAAGAUU
rnacentral:lncRNA from 1 species